AUUGAACGCUGGCGGCAGGCUUAACACAUGCAAGUCGAGCGGAGAUGAGGUGCUUGCACCUUAUCUUAGCGGCGGACGGGUGAGUAAUGCUUAGGAAUCUGCCUAUUAGUGGGGGACAACAUUCAGAAAGGAAUGCUAAUACAGCAUACGUCCUACGGGAGAAAGAAGGGGAUCUUCGGACAUUGCGCUAAUAGAUGAGCCUAAGUCGGAUUAGCUAGUUGGUGGGGUAAAGGCCUACCAAGGCGACGAUCUGUAGCGGGUCUGAGAGGAUGCUCCGCCACACUGGGACUGAGACACGGCCCAGACUCCUACGGGAGGCAGCAGUGGGGAAUAUUGGACAAUGGGGGGAACCCUGAUCCAGCCAUGCCGCGUGUGUGAAGAAGGCCUUAUGGUUGUAAAGCACUUUAAGCGAGGAGGAGGCUACUGAGACUAAUACUCUUGGAUAGUGGACGUUACUCGCAGAAUAAGCACCGGCUAACUCUGUGCCAGCCGCCGCAGUAAGAC
rnacentral:rRNA from 1 species